rnacentral:rRNA from 1 species
AUAUAAUGCAAUUCCUACAACAUUAAUGCACUGGAUCCCAUUAGAAAUCCAUAGUUAAUUGUGUUUGGGCUAGACUAGUACUAGGAUGGGUGAUCUCCCAGGAAGUCCUAGCGUUUUACAUG